rnacentral:rRNA from 1 species
UACGUAGGGUGCAAGCGUUAAUCGGAAUUACUGGGCGUAAAGCGUGCGCAGGCGGUUUUGUAAGUUUGUCGUGAAAGCCCCGGGCUCAACCUGGGAAUUGCGAUGAAGACUGCAAGGCUUGAAUCUGGCAGAGGGGGGUAGAAUUCCGACGUGUAGCAGUGAAAUGCGUAGAUAUCUGGAAGGAACACCGGUGGCGAAGGCGG